rnacentral:lncRNA from 1 species
GUCUAACCCACAGUCUUUCGUGUUGUAAUCUCAAAGCUUACCACACAAUCACUCCUUUCUCCAAAGCCUUAUCUUCUUCUUCUUCUUAUUUCCUCAACUUCAAUCUCAAGCCCCUUCUAUUCAAAUAAAUUCACAACUGUGAUAAUGAUCUUUCUAUUCAAUCAUUCAACUUCUUGUUAAAAAUGAGUAAUAUCCCUUCCUUCCUCCAAUUUAACAGUUUUUUAGUUACUUCCCUUUCUCAUGAAUGAGUUCAUUGGAAUUAGGUCAUACAUAUCUAUUAUGACCAUUUGUUACGGCCACUUUUCAAAGGUCUUUGACUUAACGGUGAAGUUUAGAAUUUAGAGAGGUAAGAUGUGUGCAUGUGAGGUUAGAAAAAGACAGCGGAAGCUAGCAACUUCCAUUACUCGUAUACAAGCAUAUGUUAAGUCAGUGGAAAUUCAAAUGUAAGUGCAAUCAUUUUUAGGUCUGGCAAAUAAAUUGACACUUCGGGUACAGAGCCAGAAAAAGAUUUGAUAUAGCUUCCUUUUCCGCAAAGAGUAGUGAAGACCAAGAAGAUGGGUCAUCAAUAAAUUUGUUGUUGUAUUUUGCACGAGCUUCUUCGAUGUGGUUUUUUCUCAUUAAAUGUAAUUUCGUAGAUAAUAUUCAAUGUUAUUUCUCAUAGGGAGUAGCGCCUAUAAUGUAUGAUUAAUGGAUUAUGUAAGAUUAGAAUUCCUUAUUAC